UGGGGAAUUUUGCACAAUGGGCGCAAGCCUGAUGCAGCGACGCCGCGUGAGGGAUGAAGGCCUUCGGGUUGUAAACCUUUUUCGCUCAUGGUCAAGCCGCAGCUUUGGGUUGUGGUGAGGGUAGUGGGUAAAGAAGCGCCGGCUAACUACGUGCCAGCAGCCGCGGUAAUACGUAGGGCGCGAGCGUUGUCCGGAAUUAUUGGGCGUAAAGGGCUUGUAGGCGGUUGGCCGCGUCUGCCGUGAAAUCCUCUGGCUUAACUGGGGGCGUGCGGUGGGUACGGGUUGACUUGAGUGCGGUAGGGGAGACUGGAAUUCCUGGUGUAGCGGUAAAAUGCGUAGAUAUUAGGAGGAACACCGGUGGCGAAGGCGGCUAUCUGGACAGUAACUGACGCUGAGGCGCGAAAGCGUGGGGAGCAAACAGG
rnacentral:rRNA from 1 species